rnacentral:rRNA from 1 species
UACGAAGGGGGCUAGCGUUGCUCGGAAUCACUGGGCGUAAAGGGUGCGUAGGCGGGUUCUUAAGUCAGGGGUGAAAUCCUGGAGCUCAACUCCAGAACUGCCUUUGAUACUGGAGAGCUUGAGUCCGGAAGAGGUGAGUGGAACUCCGAGUGUAGAGGUGAAAUUCGUAGAUAUUCGGAAGAACACCAGUGGCGAAGGCGGCUCACUGGUCCGGUACUGACGCUGAUGUGCGAAAGCGUGGGGAGCAAACAGGG